rnacentral:rRNA from 1 species
GUGGGGAAUAUUGCACAAUGGGCGCAAGCCUGAUGCAGCAACGCCGCGUGAGGGACGACGGCCUUCGGGUUGUAAACCUCUUUUAGCAGGGAAGAAGCGAAAGUGACGGUACCUGCAGAAAAAGCACCGGCUAACUACGUGCCAGCAGCCGCGGUAAUACGUAGGGUGCAAGCGUUAUCCGGAAUUAUUGGGCGUAAAGAGCUCGUAGGCGGUCUGUCGCGUCUGCUGUGAAAACUGGAGGCUCAACCUCCAGCCUGCAGUGGGUACGGGCAGACUAGAGUGCGGUAGGGGAGAUUGGAAUUCCUGGUGUAGCGGUGGAAUGCGCAGAUAUCAGGAGGAACACCGAUGGCGAAGGCAGAUCUCUGGGCCGUAACUGACGCUGAGGAGCGAAAGCGUGGGGAGCGAACAGGAUUAGAAACCCCAGUAGUCC